rnacentral:sRNA from 1 species
AAUGUUUUCUAAAAGUCAUCA